rnacentral:rRNA from 1 species
UACGUAGGGGGCCAGCGUUGCUCGGAAUUACUGGGCGUAAAGGGUUCGUAGGUGGUGCGGUAAGUUGGAAGUGAAAUCUCUGGGCUUAACCCAGAGGCUGCUUUCAAAACUGUCGCGCUCGAGUGCGAGAGAGGUCAGUGGAAUUGCAGGUGUAGCGGUGAAAUGCGUAGAUAUCUGCAGGAACACCCGUGGCGAAAGCGGCGCGCUGGACCAUAACUGACGCUGAAUGACGAAAGCUAGGGGAGCAAACAGG